CUUCUUGUGGUAUAGUGGUAACGCGCCUGUCUAAUAAAUAAAAGUCGUGAGUUGGAGUCUCACCGAGAGGA
rfam:Aedes albopictus isolate Foshan contig163897, whole genome shotgun sequence.